AUUGAACGCUGGCGGCAUGCCUUACACAUGCAAGUCGAACGGUAACGGGUCCUUCGGGAUGCCGACGAGUGGCGAACGGGUGAGUAAUAUAUCGGAACGUGCCCAGUAGUGGGGGAGUAACUGCUCGAAAGAGCAGCUAAUACCGCAUACGACCUGAGGGUGAAAGGGGGGGAUCGCAAGACCUCUCGCUAUUGGAGCGGCCGAUAUCAGAUUAGCUAGUUGGUGGGGUAAAGGCCUACCAAGGCAACGAUCUGUAGUUGGUCUGAGAGGACGACCAGCCACACUGGGACUGAGACACGGCCCAGACUCCUACGGGAGGCAGCAGUGGGGAAUAUUGGUCAAUGGGCGGAAGCCUGAACCAGCCAUGCCGCGUGCAGGAUGACGGCCCUACGGGUUGUAAACUGCUUUUCCCCGGGGCGAAUAACCCCCUCGCGAGGGGGAGUGCCGGUACCGGGGGAAGUAAGGAGUACGGCGUAACUCCGUG
rnacentral:rRNA from 1 species